ACUGCAGGCUGCAACUCGCCUGCACGAAGUCGGAAUUGCUAGUAAUCGUAGGUCAGCAUACUACGGUGAAUAUGUUCCCGGGCCUUGUACACACCGCCCGUCAAACCAUGAGAGUUGGCAACACCCGAAGUCGGUAGUCUAACCGCAAGGAGGACGCCGCCGAAGGUGGGGUUGAUGAUUAGGGUUAAGUCGUAACAAGGUAGC
rnacentral:rRNA from 1 species